CACGUAUUAAGUACUACACACUUCUUCCCAUCUGACAGGAUUUUACAACCCGAGGGCCUUCAUCAUCCACGCGGCGUCGCUGCGUCAGGGUUGCCCCCAUUGCGCAAUAUUCCUC
rnacentral:rRNA from 1 species